rnacentral:rRNA from 1 species
UACGAAGGGGGCUAGCGUUGCUCGGAAUCACUGGGCGUAAAGGGUGCGUAGGCGGGUCUUUAAGUCAGGGAUGAAAUCCUGGAGCUCAACUCCAGAACUGCCUUUGAUACUGGCUAUCUUGAGUGUGAGAGAGGUGUGUGGAACUCCGAGUGUAGAGGUGAAAUUCGUAGAUAUUCGGAAGAACACCAGUGGCGAAGGCGGCUCACUGGUCCGGUACUGACGCUGAGGUGCGAAAGCGUGGGGAGCAAACAGG